CUUUUUUUUUUUUGUACAAUAAAAAACUUACAGAUAUCUACCACCGACUUCAUCUCCAUCCUCCACCACUCUCCCACCUUUAUGGAACGUGUCCGGUUGGAUCCAUUUUGGAUUUAGAGUCACCGCUACUUCAUCUUCCGAUAGAUGUCCACCCACCGCAUUAUCUACUUCUGAUGUCCACCCAUCUCAUUCAAUUUACCGACCCUCCUUCUCCACAUCCACGCCUUCCUUCUUACUGAUAUUAUGCCCACCCAGUCGGAACUGGAGCAUAUUCAUCUCAUUCUCAAGCUCCAGAAUCGGUCACCACCGUGGAACCGUCGAAGCUCCAAACGCCCUUCUGCCGGUCUUCACGACCUUCGUUUUGCUGAAAAAUUCCUCACACUCAUUUUCUAACCAGGUUACACCACCAAAUACCAUAGUUUUGAUAUGUGAAUAUGUUUUGGUGGUGGGGAAGGUGAACCAAAUGGAGGUGAAGGAAGCCUCAUACUUACUAACGUUUCAGUUGCAAUCUUGUGGAUUCGCAAACUGAAGCUGUAACUGAUGUUGUUGAGGGUAUUCUUGUCAUUAAUGGGAAAAGUUCAAUUGCAAAGAUUGACAGCGACUUUAUUUGUGCUACUAUGGAUUGGUGGCCACUUGAGAAGUGUAAUUAUGGCAUAAGUAACCACCAGGUAUUGCAUAAUUAUUAAGUUUUGGGUUUAUUUAAUUUCCUUCUUUUUACCUUUUCCUAGAUGGAUACAUACUCUAAUGUAUGUAUGUUUAUAUUUGAUUGAGUAAACUGCUGUCACUUUCUCAUAUAAUGGUAUAUAUGCUGGCAAACGAUUCUAAAUUUUAUUCUUGAUGAUCUUAAAUUCUACGUUGAAAAGGGUAUUUUGGGAAAUACAAGAAAUUAUAAAGAAAUUGAUGUCAUUUACCUAACACAUGGGUACGAGUUAGUUUUAAAAUGGAGUGCAAUUUUCCAAUUUUGAUCUGAUAGGUUAGAACUUGUAUGGCUAAUGUUUAUCUUUGUGUGCGGUUUAUUGCAACUGCCAAAAUAAUGAAAAGGUAAAGAUAGGUCUUUACAUUUUUGAUUCCUUAGCUAUUAAACUCCAAAAAAUAUAUUUUAUGUUGGUAUUUUUCUUUUUCUUUGUGUGCGGUUUUUAUAAGAUUCAAAGGUUUAUUUAGUGUUGUUUUUGUAGAUAAACAAACUCUCAUUGAUUAAACCAAAAAAAAAAAAAAAUUUGGGUAGUGAAACCAAAAAAAAACAAAAAACAAAAAACAAA